UCUACUCAGUCUAUGCUCUUGCCUCACUCUUUUCUCUACUCGUCGCUGUCCCUUCUCUACUCUACAGUUUGUGCUCUUGCCCCCCUCUCACAGUCCAGCUAUGCCAUAGCUUCAACCAAAGCUCUCCUCCCAUGGUGACUCUCUCCACAGCCCCUAACAUCUACACUAUGAAGAUCCUAAGCUACAACCUUAAAUCUCAAAGAUCCUUGACCGACCGUCAACGCCCGUGCCCUGAACUCCAAUGGCUUUAUCUUCUAUCGCUAACAUAAGUGUGGAUGCUGAACUCUCCGUCAUUUGUGAAUACAACACCACUUGUCAUAUCUUUGGCAUAAAUAA
rnacentral:lncRNA from 1 species